CUUAGCUGUCAUAUUAAGCCUUAGCAUAUGAAUACUCCUAUUUUGCAAGCCAGAAUGUCACAAUGAAAUAAGAUAUAUUUUCGUGAUGUUACCAAGCCUAGAAGGACAGCAUCGAAUCCAAAGCCAGAUCACAAUUAGCAGAAAUGCCAGUGCUCCUAUGACAGACAAAGGAGUGACAGGAACUCUAAAGGUGUUGCUGUGCAUGGACCGAGCUUAAAUCAAACUAUUGAAAAUUAACUGUAGAGGCUGGAAACUGAAGAUGUUUGCCCAUUGUGCUGCGAUUCUUCUACUUGUCUUGCAUGCUGAUUCACAGAGUAAUGAAGUAAAAACAAUUGAGGUCCCUUUAGGAGGCACAGUAAAUAUCAGCUGUGAAAUUUCAACUAAGGCUUGGUCAUGGUCCCUGACCUGGUACAAGGAAGGACAAAACAAAAACCUGCGCAAGAUUGAUCAGGAUCACAAGAACUUGAAAAAAGACCAAAAGUGCACCUCACACUUCUGUAAUCUGAUUAUCAACAAUGCACAAAGGAAUGUAUCUGGUACUUACACCUGUAUUGCAAUAAGACAGGAAUGUGAAAUACUCAUGCACAGCACAAGGGUGAUAAUCACAGAAACUUUGAAGCCAAAUCUUUCCAUCCUUGUGCCAUCCUUCUUGCAGGAUGAACCACUGAAGCAUGAUAUUCCUCUGCUCUGCACCCUUUUCAAUGUUAACCCUAAUUCAAAUACCAUCAUUUGGAAUAUUAAUGGAAAAAUAUAUCAGGAUAAGAUGGAUGCUGACAUGAUAGAUGGGAAAGGAGCUUUCAGUAUUUGGAGCUUGAAACUGAUUCCUCCAGAGGAUUGGCAGCCAGAAAUGUCUUAUGCUUGUUCAUACCAGGUGCUGCAGUCUUCACAACAGGAAGUGUCCUCAAACAGGAAGAUUCACAGAUCAAAGAAGCAGAACUAAGUGGGAGAAGGUUAAAUGUGGCUUAAAAGGAUUGAGAGUUUUGCAUAAUAAACAGAAGAUGGAAAGACUCACAAAGAAGAAAGUGAAUGACAGAAUUUAAAGGUUCAACAUGAAGAACAGAAGUGCUUGUGAGAAAAGAAUAUUUUGGAAAAGGAUGUGUUUAAAAGAAAUGUUAAUGUUUAAGAAAUAUACUUGAAAUAAAUUGAAAGGAAUUGAAAAGAUGCUUAGAUGGAAAGUAAUAGUAGUUAAAAUCUGGAAAAGGUUAUUUUCAAAAGAAAUAUUAAUAAUUAAGAAAUAUAUUUGAAAUAAAUUGAAAUGAAUUGAGAAGAUGUAUAGAAUGAAAAUAAUAUUAAUGAUUAGAAUUAACUUGUUAGUUCUUUCUUAUGUAAAAGUGGAGAGGUAAAAUGAGAAAAGAACAUUUUGGAAAAAGAGGUGUUAAAAAGUAAUAUCAAGGUUUAAGAAAUAUAUUUGAAAUAAAUUGAAAUGAAUCGAGAAGAUACUUAGAUGAAAAAUAACAUUACUUAAUGGAUAAGAUAGGAUGUUGAAUGUUAAAAGUGAAUAUAUAAUUACUGUCAUAUUUGCAUGCAAAAAGAGUGACUCGGAAUUAUGUUGUACACUGAAAAGAGCUUUUUUAUGUUGUUUUGGAAAAAUUGAAUAAAACUUGUUAUUAAAAAAAA
ensembl:lncRNA